rnacentral:rRNA from 1 species
AACGAACGCUGGCGGCAUGCCUAGCACAUGCAAGUCGAACGGACCCUUCGGGGUUAGUGGCGCACGGGUGCGUAACGCGUGGGAAUCUGCCCUUGGUUGCGGAAUAACUCUCCGAAAGGGGUGCUAAUACCGUAUGAUGUCGCGAGACCAAAGAUUUAUCGCCUGAGGAUGAGCCCGCGUUUGACUAGCUAGUUGGUGAGGUAAAGGCUCACCAAGGCGACGAUCCAUAGCUGGUCUGAGAGGAUGAGCAGCCACACUGGGACUGAGACACGGCCCAGACUGCUACGGGAGGCAGCAGUGGGGAAUAUUGGACAAUGGGGGCAAACCUGAUCCAGCAAAGCCGCGUGAGUGAUGAAGGCCUUAGGGUUGUAAAGCUCUUUUACCCGGAAAGAUAAUGACGGUACCGGGAGAAUAAGCCCCGGCUAACUCCGUGCCAGCCGCCGCCGUAAGAC